AAAUACCAGGACCACAGAGAGAGACCAGCUACAGAAUAUUCUAAAUACCAGGACCACAGAGAGAGACCAGUUAAAAACCAGGCUUAGGUCCUAUGAGAAACCCUGUCUGAAUGAAUGGUGGCAGUUUGGCACCAGCUGUUAUUAUGUCUCCUCCACGAGGGACUCUGCCGGGGACGGUCAGGAGCAGUGCAGAGCAAUGGGUGGAGAGUUGGUUGUUAUAAACAGCAGAGAAGAACAGAUAUUUAUCCAUGGAUUUAAGAAGAAUAUCUGGAUUGGUGCAUAUACAAGUGACACAAUCUGGGAGUGGCUUUUCAACACAGAAUUUAGACCUACCUAUUGGAUGGAAGGGGAACCAAGUAGCUUGAAUGACGAGCUGGCUUGUAUUGAGAUCUCAGAGACGGCAUCAGACCCAUUGAAGAGUUGGAAGGUUGUAAAAUGUACUUCAAAUUACUGGGUGUGUGAAAUACCGUUCACACCGUAGUCUAAUUAUAAUAACUAAUGUAAGCCCUUUAUCUUAUGGAGUUGCACUGGUUUUCCCUUUGUUAGGCCUAACGUGUUUCUAUAUGUAUCUACAUUGAAAGAUGUAUUUGAUGUCUUUAAAGAGACCAGGGCUAUGGGGAGUUUGUUCACCGUUCAUCAGGCCCAGGGGA